rnacentral:misc_RNA from 1 species
GAUGAAGAACGUAGCGAAAUGCGAUAAGUAAUGUGAAUUGCAGAAUUCAGUGAAUCAUCGAAUCUUUGAACGCACAUUGCGCCCGCCAGUAUUCGGGCGGGCAUGCCUGUUCGAGCGUCAUUUCAACCAUCAAGCCCCAGGCUUGUGUUGGGGACCUGCGGCUGCCGCAGGCCCUGAAAACCAGUGGCGGGCUCGCUGUCACACCGGGCGUAGUAGAUUUUAUCUCGCUCAGGGCGUGCUGCGGGUUCCGGCCGUUAAAAAGCCUUUUUUACCCAAGGUUGACCUCGGAUCAGGUAGGAAGACCCGCUGAACUUAAGCAUAUCAAUAAGCGGAGGA